GAUUUCUGGAUGGUCCUUAAAAAGCUCCUCAGGGCCUUCCUCUGGUUUGGAGAGUGGGCCAGGGUCACCCGGAAAGCUAAAUGCAGCCUCUGGGUGAUAAAAGCUCUGCGGGAACUGACUUCCAACUAACCACAGGGCGAGAGAUCGGCUAAUGCAACCACAAAGUGGCUGGCUGGCACUAAACCUUGCUAGCGCUUGGAGAGAGAUUCCGGGGGCGUUGCUUAGUCUCCAUCUUGGAAAUCUUUCCCUUACCAGGAGGAAAAUUCUGAUCUCCACCAGUCUGGAACUGUCGGGCACAGCCGUGUGUGAGGAAGGGGAUGAACGAGCCGUCUGUGGGUCCUCACCACCCCAAGCCCUGUGAUCUUCAGGAGAGGCUUAGCCAGCUAGCUCUAAAGCAGGCCUGCAGGAAAUAUGCUGCCUUUCAGCAGUCCUGACCAUCAGUCUGUGCCACUUCUUCAAGACCCGGUGCAGAGGCCUUUGGUGAAAAUUCCAUAUGAUUCCUGCUGUGUCCUUCUGCAACCACUUACAACCUGGAGUAGAAUCAUCAGUGGGGUGUAAUGAAGCUCUCAAGAGCCGGAGGCUCUGCAGUCACAGAGCUGGAAUUCGAUUGGAGUGUCCUUCGGAUAACGUGAUUGGGACUGCUGAAGCCUUGCCAUGAUCACGCGCUUUCAUCAGGACUUCUGGCUUUUUGGAGGUUGCCCCUGUGUGUGAGAUCAGCUGUCCUGAUAGCUGGGAUGACCAAAAGAUUUUGCCAAGGCCUUCAAAUUGUCUCAAGUGUCAAUUAAUUUCAGGCAAAAUGGAUUUAAUCCAAAUUCAAACUGAGGACUGAGGAGAGCAAGCCCCCAUAUCCUAUUACAUGAGCUGUCCAGAGUCUCUACAACACUGUAGAUUAAAUCCUUAUAACAAGCUGCUUUGUAAGUCUUGGUGCCUGUUCAGUAUUUUCAUUGCAGUGAUUACCGAUGGUCUGUGGCCCAGCUGAGGCUGGAGAGCUCUUUCCCUUGAUAGGUUUCCAUAACAUCUCUCAUCGGCCCACUGAAACUUGUUAAGGGAAGAGCUAAUCUAUUGCAGCCUUGCUGCACCAUGCCAGGAAACUUGAUGUGUUUCUUUCAGCUAUUUUCAUGAAGACAGCUCACUUCUUGGUGAGAGUUUUAACUUCUCAAGUUAAUAAACAACACAGCUACAAAGAAGUGCUCCCAAGAACAGCCUUCUCAAUGCAUCCUGGAAGUGGAGUCCCCACCGCCUAGACUGACACCAGCGUGGAGUUCCCAAAGUAUGAGGGGUGUCUGUGCAGCAGAUACCUGAGAAGCCCAAGGCCAGAGGGAGGCUGAUGUGGGAACCUGACUGAUCCCUGACUGAUCCCUGCACUCAGAGGAGGUCUUCGGUGGCUGGAAACCAUGAGUUACGCCUUCAGAUGCCUUCUCUCAGCAUUGCCAAUAGAAAGGU
ensembl:lncRNA